AGGAUGAACCGCCGAAAGACUCACCGAAAACUACCGUCGGAGUCUAUUCCGGUGAAGAUCAUGAUGCAAGGAGGUGAAGAUCAUGAUGCAGAGAAACUUUCUUGGAAGGGAAAAGAGAAUGUGGGUGGCCGGAGUCCCAUUUUUCAUCAAGAAGUCGGAAAACCCGCAAGGAACAACUCUACGCAUGAUCUGUGAAGAAGUUUGGCCGAGACCUCAACCCGAAGGCGGAGAUCCAAGAGUCGUCCGAGAACGGGACCUAAUUUAAAGAAAUCAGUAUUUUUGGACACCUCACGGGCAAAGAAAUGCUAGCAGAAAGAGCACGUGUCAACCAGGUAAGUCACCACCCGGUAUAUAGGAAGAAAUACUUGUAGGAUUCGCUUGGAUUACCUGCAUGUUAGUAGUUCUGCUUCAGAUUAGCUCUCCAUGUAAAGUAUUAAUCAGAUUAAUUGUUAUGUUUGUAUUGGAUGAAUUACAUGAGUGUUGCCUUUAA